GACGAACCGUGCAAACGUUGUUCGGAUUCACUGGGCUUAAAGGGCGCGUAGGCGGCUUGAUAAGCGUGCGGUGAAAGCCCGGGGCUCAACCCCGGGUCGGCCGUGCGAACUGUCGAGCUGGAGCACUGUAGAGGCAGGUGGAAUUCCGGGUGUAGCGGUGGAAUGCGUAGAGAUCCGGAAGAACACCGGUGGCGAAGGCGGCCUGCUGGGCAGUGGCUGACGCUGAGGCGCGACAGCGUGGGGAGCAAACAGG
rnacentral:rRNA from 1 species